UACGUAGGGUGCAAGCGUUAAUCGGAAUUACUGGGCGUAAAGCGUGCGCAGGCGGUUCGGAAAGAGAGGUGUGAAAUCCCAGGGCUUAACCUUGGAACUGCACUUCUAACUACCGGGCUAGAGUACGUCAGAGGGGGGUAAAAUUCCACGUGUAGCAGUGAAAUGCGUAGAGAUGUGGAGGAAUACCGAUGGCGAAGGCAGCCCCCUGGGAUGAUACUGACGCUCAUGCACGAAAGCGUGGGGAGCAAACAGG
rnacentral:rRNA from 1 species